rnacentral:misc_RNA from 1 species
AAGUCGUAACAAGGUUUCCGUAGGUGAACCUGCGGAAGGAUCAUUAACAAAUCCCAUGGCUCGCGUCUCUCCCAGGAGACGACGUGGGCUGUAUGUUCCGGUGCGGAGCGCUGUGGCGCGACGUGCCGUGUUCAAACGUGCUCUGCACAAGUAUGUAAGUCGGACUGAAACAACAUGGUGGGAACUCAACAAACAACUUUUAACAAUGGAUCUCUAGGCUCUUGCAUCGAUGAACGCAGC